AAGUACGGAAACUAACUGGUAUAGCAUCAUCGGAGCUGAUGUUCAGCUGAUGCUGCUGCCUGGGUCGCUGCGGUACGAGUUGCCGUUGAUGGAGUUGCUAUGUUCAGUGAUCUCUGCGAGUUUCGACUUUCCGGUAAGGGUGUUAAAUUUGUUGUUUCUGUCAUUUUGGGUUUCGAGAAGAUUUUGAUGCUGCGUGGUUAUUAUAGUUAACCCACCGGAGCUUUUGGCCGCUGCCGGAGCUGUUGCCGAGUCGGUCCGGAAUCGCAGCUGCUUCGUUUUGUUAAUUCAUUGUUGAGAUUGUUGAGAAAGCAAGUGGAGCCGAGUUGUUGGCUGCGGUUGAUUUCGAGUUGAGGCUAAAAGGAUUCUGUGACACGUUUGAGUUAUGGAAUUUGCGUUUUGAGGAUAUGGGCGCAGAAGUUACGAAGAGCUUAUUUAAUUGUUGU